GAAGACGAAAACAAAAAUAACUGCGUAAACACACAGAUAGCAAGAGAAAGCGUUGCUCACUGGAUUUAUGUCCUAGAAAACAUUUUAUAGAUACAACUUUAGCACAGACCCUACUCAUUUUAACACUCGGGGACAUUGUUUUUACAUAUUUAAUCCGAUCCGUCUGUACUAUUGAGAGAUUUGAGAAGAAAUUGCUGACAAGCUACAGGCCUAAAGGACAGAAAAAUGAGCGUUUCUAAUAAAUUCUCUUCUUAGUGGACAAGACUGUAGGUCAAACUGAACAGCAGAUUGUUUUCUCAACCCAAUGCUGAUCACUGGAGUUUAUCUGCAGUUUGUCAGAAGAUCAAGGAAAGGACUCUCAGUCUGAGAUGAGUCUCUCACAGAAACAGAGUGUAAGAUCAGACUCACAUGUGUCCAGCUCUGUGUCUGUGAAGAGUGACCGGUCAAAAGAUGAUGAUCCACCGAACUUCAGUGAGAAAAAAACGUCAUCUACCAAAAGUGUAAGAUCAGGCUCACAUGUGUCCAGCUCUGUGUCUGUGAAGAGUGACCAUUCGAGACGUAGUCUGCGACCGAACUUCAGUAAGAAAAAAACAUCUACCAAAAGGUAUGACAUUAUAGCAUUAUGUUUACUAAUUUUGUCACCUUGGUUUUUGUGAUAGAUGUUGACUGUUUAAAAAAAAAAACAAAUCACUGAACACAACUUAUGGUGACUUUUAUUGAACUCUGUGUGGAGCAGAGUUGGGGAAAGUUGCAUUUAAAAGUAACGCAUUACAAUUUUGCGUUACUCCAUGAUUAAUUCAUGCAUGAAUUAUGUGUUACUUCAUGCAUUAAUGUCUCAUGAAUUAUCAGGAACUAACAUGAGUUCAAAGUCUUUCUAUCAUGACUUCAUGAAUGAUCAACACUUUAAUUACGACAUUAACUAAGGUGGGUACAUCACCAUGAUUUAUGGUUUAUCACACGUGAUCAUGAUGUUUUCUUUUGUUCGCAAAAAAAAAGGUCUUCACUAUUCACUGUCAUCAAAAAUUCAUGCAUAAAAUAGGAUUAUUUCAUACAUGUAAGAUUACUUACCUCAUGCAUGCAUACAGGCUAGAACAGUAUAUGUCAAUUAAACAGUAUGUAACUAAUGUUUUAUAUUAAUUAUGAAUUGUCAAGCACGUACAUGUCUUCAUAGUAGCCUGCAGUAAAUGGUCAGACCCCAACAUUGGUCAAUCACAGCGCAUAGCUUGUAUAUUCCGUUGACAUCCAAAUACAGUAGUCAUCAUUAACUAAGCAUUAACUUCUCAUGAGUUCAUCAUGUGUGUGGCCCCUCAACUAAAGUGGUGACUUGGUUCUUUCAAAUCCUGAAAAACAGUGUGUUAUUAAUGCUGGCAUAAUUGUGAAAUGACAUGAAUAUGAACAUGAAAGUUUAAGCUUUUGCACACAAUACACUGAGGACACAAAAGGGACUUUGAUCUUAACUUUCUGCUUUAUUCUUGAACAGUAACCCACACUGCAUGAAAACGCGCGUUUCCGGACUGUUCACGUCAGCGCACAAACCCGUAAACGGCAUGUUUACGGCAGUUUCCGUGUUUGUGCUCUGGCGUUUCUAAUUCCUUGACACGGACAGAAACGGACUUUUGCGUGUGCGGCAAUUUUCCAGUCCACUCACUAACGCGAUAUCCUCUGCACGAGAAGUAAAAUCCCCGCAAAAUCCAGGGUACAAGCAAUUAAAUCUCCGUAAACAGCCGAUCAUAUAUCUCAGUCAGUGGCGGUUUUAGGCAUGGGCGAACGGGGCAGCCGCCCGGGGGCGGCAUUUUUUCAUGACACGUGGGGGGCGGCACACGAACUUGGAGGAAAAAAAAAAAAUCAUCUGUGCCGCUAAGCGGUUUUCUAUUGUCUAUGAUACCUGUGCCGCCCCUGCUGCUGAAGGAGCCGCACAGAAGCUGAGCGAGAGGAGAGGGGAUGAGGGGAGGGAAGCAGAGUACAGUUCAGCUCUCCCAAAUGAAGCGGACAAGGAGGUGGGCUAAACUAUGUCAGUGGCGCCGGGAGGGAGUCUCGCCCGGGGAGCAAUUCAGUGUAGAACCGCCACUGAUCUCAGUUAACGUCUGUAAAUUACCGUGCACUUGAUAUAUUUUAAAUGCUACUGGCAUUUUACAUAGAAAUGUGUCAUAUACACUUAUAAAAACGGUAAAGAAAGCCACAAACACAUCAAAGUAUAAACAAAACUAAAAUUGUAUUUUUUUCAGCAAAUGCACGACUGCAAACAUUUAAACAGGAUUGCAAAUAUUAUUCAAGGACUGCAACAUUUAACUGUUUUUUAUUUUUAAGUAUUUUUAAAAAGACAAUAAAAAUGUAAUCAAAAACAAACACAAUAAUGAAUACAAUGGACACUGCAAAGUCAGGGCAGUGAUUAUCGCUCCAUCUCAGACAGUCACGCACACAUAUUCUACAACUAAUGGCACCAUCAGGACCAUGCCAUAUAUUUUUCAUUUAAAUCUGCCCUUCAGAAGCUACUGUUAUGCUCAUAAAUGUACAUACCCCUAGUAGAAUAUGCAAUCAGUUUAACAAAAUAAGAGGGAUCAUAAACAUUGCAUGCUAUUUUUAUUUAGUAUUGUCCUGAAUAAGCAAUUUUACAUAACAGAUAUUUACAUAUACUGAAUUUGUAAAAAUUAAACUGAAUUUAUAAAUAUGAAAAUGUGUAAUUUAUAAAAAUCUUCAAAAGUUUGCAUACACUUGAUUCUUAAUACUGUGUCAUUACCUGGAUGACCCACAGCUGUUUUAUGUGUUGUGAUAGUUUUUCAUAAAUCCUGAUUUUCCUGGGUUGCAGGUUCUACAAUCUACUUACGCUUACAGUGUUUUGGGAAAUGCAGCCCAGAGCAGUUAAACUGCCUUCUGUUCUUCAGAAAAAUCCAGAUACAUCCUGAUUUCCAGCAGCUUCUGCAUAUUUGGCCCCUGUCCAACAAUGAUUUAUGAUUUUGAGAUCCAACUUUUCACUUAUAAAAGGUGAAAACAUUCAGUGAUGCUCCAGAAUUAAACAAUACAUUAAGAGCUGAGUAUAAGUAAAUCAUAUUUGUUCUUUUAGCACUGCCCUUCAGAAGCUACAUAAAAUACUUUUGCUUUUGUAUGCUUUUCAGACAAAAUAAGUUUACCCUGAUCAUCCAAUUCAAAUAGCUUACACCCUGUGUCUCUUAAUGCAUUGUGUUGCUUUCUUGAGCAUCAGUAAAUGUGUUUACCUUUUGUAAUAGUUAUGUAGUUAUGUA